rnacentral:rRNA from 1 species
AUUGAACGCUGGCGGCAGGCCUAACACAUGCAAGUCGAGCGGAUGAAGGGAGCUUGCUCCUGGAUUCAGCGGCGGACGGGUGAGUAAUGCCUAGGAAUCUGCCUGGUAGUGGGGGAUAACGUCCGGAAACGGGCGCUAAUACCGCAUACGUCCUGAGGGAGAAAGUGGGGGAUCUUCGGACCUCACGCUAUCAGAUGAGCCUAGGUCGGAUUAGCUAGUUGGUGGGGUAAAGGCCUACCAAGGCGACGAUCCGUAACUGGUCUGAGAGGAUGAUCAGUCACACUGGAACUGAGACACGGUCCAGACUCCUACGGGAGGCAGCAGUGGGGAAUAUUGGACAAUGGGCGAAAGCCUGAUCCAGCCAUGCCGCGUGUGUGAAGAAGGUCUUCGGAUUGUAAAGCACUUUAAGUUGGGACGAAGAGCAGUAAGUUAAUACCUUGCUGUUUUGACGUUACCAACAGAAUAAGCACCGGCUAACUUCGUG